rnacentral:rRNA from 1 species
AUUGAACGCUGGCGGCAGGCCUAACACAUGCAAGUCGAGCGAGCGGCGGACGGGUGAGUAAUGUAUGGGGACUGCCCGAUAGAGGGGGAUAACUACUGGAAACGGUGGCGAAUACCGCAUACAAUCGGAUAACCCAUAUGGGAUUAGCUAGUAGGUGGGGCAAAGGCUCACCUAGGCGACGAUCUCUAGCUGGUCUGAGAGGAUGAUCAGCCACACUGGGACUGAGACACGUCCCAGACUCCUACGGAUGCAGCAGUGGGGAAUAUUGCACAAGUGGCGCACGCCGGAUGCAGCCAUGCCGCGUGUAUGAAGAAGGCCUUAGGGUUGUAAACCUCUUUCGCUAUCGAACGGGUAGGUGGAGAAGAAGCGCCGGCUAACUACGUGCCAGCAGCCGCGGUAAUAC